rnacentral:rRNA from 1 species
GAUGAACGCUGGCGGCGUGCCUAAUACAUGCAAGUCGAGCGAGCAGAUGAGGAGCUUGCUCCUCUGACGUUAGCGGCGGACGGGUGAGUAACACGUGGAUAACCUACCUAUAAGACUGGGAUAACUUCGGGAAACCGGAGCUAAUACCGGAUAAUAUAUUGAACCGCAUGGUUCAAUAGUGAAAGACGGUUUUGCUGUCACUUAUAGAUGGAUCCGCGCCGCAUUAGCUAGUUGGUAAGGUAACGGCUUACCAAGGCAACGAUGCGUAGCCGACCUGAGAGGGUGAUCGGCCACACUGGAACUGAGACACGGUCCAGACUCCUACGGGAGGCAGCAGUAGGGAAUCUUCCGCAAAGGGCGAAAGCCUGACGGAGCAACGCCGCGUGAGUGAUGAAGGUCUUCGGAUCGUAAAACUCUGUUAUUAGGGAAGAACAAAUGUGUAAGUAACUAUGCACGUCUUGACGGUACCUAAUCAGAAAGCCACGGCUAACUACGUG